rnacentral:rRNA from 1 species
CCCUUAGAUGUCCUGGGCCGCACGCGCGCUACACUGAGUGUCUGAGAUACGAGUCUGCCUGGUCCGGCAAGGUCUAGGUAAUCGCUAAAAGACACAUCAUGCUUGGGAUAGAUUAUUGCAAAUAUUAAUCUUGAACGAGGAAUUCCUAGUAAGCGCAAGUCAACAGCUUGCGUUGAUUACGUCCCUGCCCUUUGUACACACCGCCCGUCGCUACUACUGAUUGGAUGUUUAAGCGAGGUUCUCGAACUGCUAGCGACUUAGCUUCGGUGAGGUCGCAGUGUGGGAAGUGAACCUAGCUUUGGUGUCUAGAGGAGGUGAAAGUCGUAACA